CAAAGCGGAGGAAAAGAAACCAACAGGGAUUGCCUUAGUAACGGCGAGUGAAGCGGCAAAAGCUCAAAUUUGAAAUCUGGCACCUUCGGUGUCCGAGUUGUAAUUUGAAGAAGGUAACUUUGGAGUUGGCUCUUGUCUAUGUUCCUUGGAACAGGACGUCACAGAGGGUGAGAAUCCCGUGCGAUGAGAUGCCCAAUUCUAUGUAAAGUGCUUUCGAAGAGUCGAGUUGUUUGGGAAUGCAGCUCUAAGUGGGUGGUAAAUUCCAUCUAAAGCUAAAUAUUGGCGAGAGACCGAUAGCGAACAAGUACAGUGAUGGAAAGAUGAAAAGAACUUUGAAAAGAGAGUGAAAAAGUACGUGAAAUUGUUGAAAGGGAAGGGCUUGAGAUCAGACUUGGUAUUUUGCGAUCCUUUCCUUCUUGGUUGGGUUCCUCGCAGCUUACUGGGCCAGCAUCGGUUUGGAUGGUAGGAUAAUGACUAAGGAAUGUGGCUCUACUUCGGUGGAGUGUUAUAGCCUUGGUUGAUACUGCCUGUCUAGACCGAGGACUGCGUCUUUUGACUAGGAUGUUGGCAUAAUGAUCUUAAGCCACCCGUCUUGAC
rnacentral:rRNA from 1 species